GCUCCAUUAGCUAAGAGGUUAUAGCGUCGUGCUUAUAGGCGAGUUCCGACUUUUGGACUUGACUGUACCAAAGUCUUUUGAGACGCGAAGAUCGUGGGUUCAAUCCCCACAUGGAGCA
rfam:Candida parapsilosis strain CDC317 annotated contig 005809